GGUGAAAAGCACCCCGGAAGGGGAGUGAAAUAGAACCUGAAACCGUGUGCUUACAAGUAGUCAGAGCCCGUUAAUGGGUGAUGGCGUGCCUUUUGUAGAAUGAACCGGCGAGUUACGAUUUGAUGCAAGGUUAAGCAGUAAAUGUGGAGCCGUAGCGAAAGCGAGUCUGAAUAGGGCGUUUAGUAUUUGGUCGUAGACCCGAAACCAGGUGAUCUACCCUUGGUCAGGUUGAAGUUCAGGUAACACUGAAUGGAGGACCGAACCGACUUACGUUGAAAAGUGAGCGGAUGAACUGAGGGUAGCGGAGAAAUUCCAAUCGAACCUGGAGAUAGCUGGUUCUCUCCGAAAUAGCUUUAGGGCUAGCCUCAAGUGAUGAUUAUUGGAGGUAGAGCACUGUUUGGACGAGGGGCCCCUCUCGGGUUACCGAAUUCAGACAAACUCCGAAUGCCAAUUAAUUUAACUUGGGAGUCAGAACAUGGGUGAUAAGGUCCGUGUUCGAAAGGGAAACAGCCCAGACCACCAGCUAAGGUCCCAAAAUAUAUGUUAAGUGGAAAAGGAUGUGGCGUUGCCCAGACAACUAGGAUGUUGGCUUAGAAGCAGCCAUCAUUUAAAGAGUGCGUAAUAGCUCACUAGUCGAGUGACACUGCGCCGAAAAUGUACCGGGGCUAAACAUAUUACCGAAGCUGUGGAUUGUCCUUUGGACAAUGGUAGGAGAGCGUUCUAAGGGCGUUGAAGCAUGAUCGUAAGGACAUGUGGAGCGCUUAGAAGUGAGAAUGCCGGUGUGAGUAGCGAAAGACGGGUGAGAAUCCCGUCCACCGAUUGACUAAGGUUUCCAGAGGAAGGCUCGUCCGCUCUGGGUUAGUCGGGUCCUAAGCUGAGGCCGACAGGCGUAGGCGAUGGAUAACAGGUUGAUAUUCCUGUACCACCUAUAAUCGUUUUAAUCGAUGGGGGGACGCAGUAGGAUAGGCGAAGCGUGCGAUUGGAUUGCACGUCUAAGCAGUAAGGCUGAGUAUUAGGCAAAUCCGGUACUCAUUAAGGCUGAGCUGUGAUGGGGAGAAGACAUUGUGUCUUCGAGUCGUUGAUUUCACACUGCCGAGAAAAGCCUCUAGAUAGAAAAUAGGUGCCCGUACCGCAAACCGACACAGGUAGUCAAGAUGAGAAUUCUAAGGUGAGCGAGCGAACUCUCGUUAAGGAACUCGGCAAAAUGACCCCGUAACUUCGGGAGAAGGGGUGCUCUUUAGGGUUAACGCCCAGAAGAGCCGCAGUGAAUAGGCCCAAGCGACUGUUUAUCAAAAACACAGGUCUCUGCUAAACCGUAAGGUGAUGUAUAGGGGCUGACGCCUGCCCGGUGCUGGAAGGUUAAGAGGAGUGGUUAGCUUCUGCGAAGCUACGAAUCGAAGCCCCAGUAAACGGCGGCCGUAACUAUAACGGUCCUAAGGUAGCGAAAUUCCUUGUCGGGUAAGUUCCGACCCGCACGAAAGGCGUAACGAUUUGGGCACUGUCUCAACGAGAGACUCGGUGAAAUCAUAGUACCUGUGAAGAUGCAGGUUACCCGCGACAGGACGGAAAGACCCCGUGGAGCUUUACUGUAGCCUGAUAUUGAAAUUCGGCACAGCUUGUACAGGAUAGGUAGGAGCCUUUGAAACGUGAGCGCUAGCUUACGUGGAGGCGCUGGUGGGAUACUACCCUAGCUGUGUUGGCUUUCUAACCCGCACCACUUAUCGUGGUGGGAGACAGUGUCAGGCGGGCAGUUUGACUGGGGCGGUCGCCUCCUAAAAGGUAACGGAGGCGCUCAAAGGUUCCCUCAGAAUGGUUGGAAAUCAUUCAUAGAGUGUAAAGGCAUAAGGGAGCUUGACUGCGAGACCUACAAGUCGAGCAGGGUCGAAAGACGGACUUAGUGAUCCGGUGGUUCCGCAUGGAAGGGCCAUCGCUCAACGGAUAAAAGCUACCCCGGGGAUAACAGGCUUAUCUCCCCCAAGAGUUCACAUCGACGGGGAGGUUUGGCACCUCGAUGUCGGCUCAUCGCAUCCUGGGGCUGUAGUCGGUCCCAAGGGUUGGGCUGUUCGCCCAUUAAAGCGGUACGCGAGCUGGGUUCAGAACGUCGUGAGACAGUUCGGUCCCUAUCCGUCGUGGGCGUAGGAAAUUUGAGAGGAGCUGUCCUUAGUACGAGAGGACCGGGAUGGACAUACCUCUGGUGUACCAGUUGUCGUGCCAACGGCAUAGCUGGGUAGCUAUGUGUGGACGGGAUAAGUGCUGAAAGCAUCUAAGCAUGAAGCCCCCCUCAAGAUGAGAUUUCCCAACUUCGGUUAU
rnacentral:rRNA from 1 species